rnacentral:tRNA from 1 species
GGGCUUUUAGCUCAGUUGGUUAGAGCAACCGGCUCAUAACCGGUAGGUCCGGGGUUCGAGUCCCUGAAGGCCCACUA